CCUACGGGCGGCUGCAGUGGGGAAUAUUGGACAAUGGGGGGAACCCUGAUCCAGCCAUGCCGCGUGUGUGAAGAAGGCCCUCGGGUUGUAAAGCACUUUCAGUGAGGAAGAAUGCCUGGUGGUUAAUACCCAUCAGGAAAGACAUCACUCACAGAAGAAGCACCGGCUAACUCCGUGCCAGCAGCCGCGGUAAUACGGAGGGUGCGAGCGUUAAUCGGAAUUACUGGGCGUAAAGCGCGCGUAGGUGGCUUGAUAAGCCGGUUGUGAAAGCCCCGGGCUCAACCUGGGAACGGCAUCCGGAACUGUCAAGCUAGAGUGCAGGAGAGGAAGGUAGAAUUCCCGGUGUAGCGGUGAAAUGCGUAGAGAUCGGGAGGAAUACCAGUGGCGAAGGCGGCCUUCUGGACUGACACUGACACUGAGGUGCGAAAGCGUGGGUAGCAAACAGGAUUAGAUACCCGAGUAGUC
rnacentral:rRNA from 1 species